rnacentral:rRNA from 1 species
UACAGAGGGUGCAAGCGUUGUUCGGAAUCAUUGGGCGUAAAGAGCGUGUAGGCGGCCAGGUAGGUCCGCUGUGAAAACUCGAGGCUCAACCUCGAGAUGUCGGCGGAAACCAUCUGGCUAGAGUCCGGAAGAGGAGAGUGGAAUUCCUGGUGUAGCGGUGAAAUGCGCAGAUAUCAGGAAGAACACCCGUGGCGAAGGCGGCUCUCUGGGACGGUACUGACGCUGAGACGCGAAAGCGUGGGGAGCGAACAGG